UGAAUUCUGAUACUCCUCCCCGACCUCCCCCCACUACCCUGGGCUCAUCGACCUCCUCAUCAACCGCGCAACGACGAUCGACCUCCAUUCAUCCGACGAUCUUCGCCGUGCCGUGCAACGGUAUUUCUCUCAAAGUUUCCUUCAUUGUUCCGACUUGUUCUUGUGCUCACACAUGCUUUGCGCUGGUGUUUUAUAGACGCGCUCUAUACUAUAUGGCGCCGCAAACGACGGGUCCUACCUAUGACCCGGCGCCUAUUGAUCAAGUCUGGAUUAUUGUUGACAAGGAUGGAGGGGUCUAUAUUGGCAGCGAUGACACUGAAUAGCCGGUGAUACUUUGAUCUCUCGUCUCAAUUCCUUUGCUAUCUGUAUUAUGUUUUCAUGUGCAUACGCGUAUCGCUAAAAGUGAUGUUUUUAUCCACUGGAAUAUACCGAAAAAGGCUUUCGCUCAGAAGACAUACAAGGACUAGUUCAAAAGACACACACCCAAGUCGCACAACAAUAAAUCCAGAGGUACUGCUGAGGGCACAGCUCAACAAGCCCAAAACACACACGAAAUAAGAGACAGGCUCAGCCGGGGCCAUGGCCGGAGAGCAAACAGACGACUAAUCAGGCUCAGGCGGAGGCGGCGGUGGUGGCGGCGACAGGCGGACGGCCAUCGAGCGGAGGUCGGCGAUGAAGGCGGAGACGGCGUCCCGGUCCCGAGGGCGGCUAAGCGGCCGCCAGAGCUGCAAGUAACCAGACAGUUUGAAGAGAGCGUCAGUAGAUCGUCGAAGAGGGGAGCCUGAAUCACAAGCUUAUUGCGAAUAGUCCAGAGCGUCCACGCGAGGGCCCCAAUCUCAAGCCACCUACUGUGGCGAGAGGACAGUGGGGAGGCCUGUAGCUCGGCGAAGAGGUCGGGGAAGUUGGAGUGGCACCAAUCCCCACCAACCGCUGGAAUAUAUAUGCUUCAUACACAUAUUUGCAGUUAUCCUUAUAAAAGUAACAGUCAACUUGCUUGCUUAAUUCCCCGGAAAAAAAAACUUGCUUGCUUAAUUAUGAAGUUGACUAUGAGCGUGAGUUGAUUAGCCCGUGUGUGACUAGUCGUUGUCUCUAAGAUGCUUGUUAGUUUAUUAUCCUGUCGGCUGCUUGUUCAACAAGUGGGACCUACCGUUAAGAUUACACAAAUAUUCAGUGAGUAUUUCCUUUUCUUCUCUCUUUAUAUUAGGUCUGCUUUCCGCUCA
rnacentral:lncRNA from 1 species